UGAGUACAUUGUCAUGCUUCCCUUCUUCCCCGAUUAUGGAGUUCCCUAAUCUUGUGUUUAAUGUCUCUAAAGCAUGUCGAUAAUCCAGGACAUUCCUGCAGCUUUGUUAUAUACAUGCUUCUAAAGUAUAUAUGUUCCACGCCGUAUAAUGGAAACCUUGUCUUCUAACAGUCUUUUUCAAGUUGGAAUAUGUGUUCCACUAUUUAUGCCCAACUUGGAAUUUGCAUUGAGCAAACACUUUGUUGAAAAUGUUUGUCUGCUGAUUAUCUUUAAUAUAAUAUUUUGUACUGAACCAUUUUUUCUGCAACUUAAAUUUCCAUGCAUAGUAUGAUGUGUUUCGAGGAGUAGAUGGUGAGAAUCAUGCAUGAGAUUGCUUAAGUUUGCAGGUAGAUGCUUAAUCCACAGGACCGCAUGAGACCACAUGUCAUCAAGGACCGUAUUUUGCAUCUGCGCAGAAGGCUUCACUCUAAAUGGCUUUCCCAUUUUACGCAAUAGAGGAAUUGGUCAAUCAGAAGGAUAAUUUUUUUAUUUCAUAAAAUUAAUGUCUACAGAAAAUGAUAAUAGAUACAUUAUUGUGGAGUUAUAUUCUAUUUCUAGAAGCAUCACUACAGCUUUGUAUAAAUUUUCUAUUAUCAUCUGGCAUAGAUAAGAACGUAGCAUUUUAAAAGAAGGCUUAUCAUUGUCAUCGAGAAAACUUUGAACUGUCACAUGGACUUAGCAAGAAAUUGGUGGACCUGUAUCAACCCAGCAAGUCUUGCACACUCUGCAGUUGAAAAAGAGUGGGUGCAUGUUGACCACGCAGAUCCAGCUUUUCCAAAUGGUUCUCUACCUUGCAUUAAUAUUUUCUGAAAUGUGUCCUGCCCUUUGCAGUCUUACCCGCACUGCACCUUUGUUGUCUAAAUUCUGAUUUAUAGCCUCUAUUAACCUUUGAACCUACUAAAUUUGAAGUCUAAGCAAAAGUUGCUUCAAUUAUGAAUUACUUGGACAUUUGUACAUAGCUUUCGAAUCAUGGUUUCAUUAAUCCUUGAAGGUAGUCUGAACACUAGUUGCUUUAUUUCUAAAUCGUGUUCAUGGCAUAUAUUUCAAAAUUCUCCUUUUUUUGUGUGUGUCUCUUUCUGGUCUAGGUUGGGGUUGAAGCUUUUCGUUUUCAUUUAUUUUCAGAUUUGGUCCAAUAAAUUUGUUUUGGAGCACUCUUUAUGACCAAGCAAUGACACUCUUCUGGCCUGUUUGAAGGAUUUUUCUGGAUUUGCUAAUGCCACGGAUCAAGAAAAUGAUGUUCUACUUGAUAGUUGUUUCACUCUUCCAUACAAAUGUGUUCAAAUUGAUAGCAAAACCGAAGAAGGGAGGACUGGGUGUGAUCAGACAUACCUGUUCUGGAACCUGCAUGAGCCAACUCCCAGACAGGUUACUAAUUAAUAGUAUUCUUUCGAAGAAAAUUGUGACUUGGUGGCACAUUGUUGGCUCAGUU